GAUGAACGCUGGCGGCGUGCCUAAUACAUGCAAGUCGAGCGAACAGACGAGAGUGCUUGCUCUCUCUGACGUUAGCGGCGGACGGGUGAGUAACACGUGGGUAACCUACCUAUAAGACUGGGCUAACUUCGGGAAACUGGAGCUAAUACCCGAUAAUAUUUAGCUUCGCAUGAAGCAAUAGUGAAAGACGGUUCUGCUGUCACUUAUAGAUUGACCCGGGGUGUAUUAGCUAGUUGGUGAGGUAACGGCUCACCAAGGCAACGAUCCAUAGCCGACCUGAGAGGAUGAUCGGCCACACUGGGACUGAGACACGGCCCAGACUCCUACGGGAGGCAGCAGUAGGGAAUCUUCCGCAAUGGACGAAAGUCUGACGGAGCAAUGCCGCGUGAGUGAAGAAGGUUUUCGGAUCGUAAACCUCUGUUGUAAGGGAAGAACAAGUACGUUAGUAACUGAACGGACCUUGACGGUACCUGAACAGAAAGCCACGGCUAACUACGUG
rnacentral:rRNA from 1 species